rnacentral:rRNA from 1 species
AACACGUGGAUAAUCUGCCCUAAGGUGGAGGAUAACCUCGGGAAACUGAGAAUAAUACUCCAUAGGUCUAAGAUACUGGAAUGUCCUUAGGCUGAAAACUCCGGUGCCUUACGAUGAGUCUGCGGACUAUCAGGUUGUAGUCAGGGUAAAGACCUGACUAGCCUACGACGGAUACGGGUUGUGAGAGCAAUAACCCGGAGAUGAUAUCUGAGACACGAUAUCAGGCCCUACGGGGCGCAGCAGGCGCGAAAACUUCACACUGUGCGAAAGCACGAUGAGGGAAUCCCAAGUGUAUGCACGUAAGUGUAUACUGUUUUUCUGUUUAAAAUGCACAGAGAGUAAGGGCUGGGUAAGACGGGUGCCAGCCGCCGCGGUAAUACCUGCAGCUCAAGUGGUGACCGUUAUUAUUGGGCCUAAAACGUCCGUAGCCUGUCUAUUAAAUGCCUGGGUAAAUCGUGUAGCUCAACUAUACGAAUUCCGGGUAGACUGAUACGCUUGAGACCGGGAGAGGCUAGAGGUACUCCUGGGGUAGAGGUGAAAUUCUGUAAUCCUGGGGGGACCACCAGUGGCGAAGGCGU